rnacentral:rRNA from 1 species
CCUGGCGGCACUAGCGCGGCGGUCCCAUCUGACCCCAUGCCGAACUCAGAAGUGAAACGCCGUAGCGCCGAUGGUAGUGUGGGGUCUCCCCAUGCGAGAGUAGGGAACUGCCAGGC